ACUGCGUGGUGGCGACGCUCUCGACGUUGAAAUUAACAUGAACCUACACACACACAUACACACUGCGUAAUCGCGACGUCCUCGUCUAGACUCGCUAUCUAGAACUAACGGGAUCAAAAGCACUGCUGCUUGCCCGUGCGUAUACAUUAAGAAUAAAGCUUUCAUCAUUCUUGAUCUUGACACCAAACCGAGCAGUUGAUUUAUUUAAAGUGCCUGGGCAGCAACUAACUAAGAGUAGAGAAAGGAGGACCCCCGAUCCAACGGAGGCACUCGUAACUGGCGCAGCCGGACUAGAACUAAAAGGAUUAACAACGCCUUUCACGUUCUUCGUUCCACUUCUGUAAACGGUCAAACAUUGGAGCCAACACUUACUUAGAAAGAAACAAACGGAUUCAUAUUAUAAAUACACACUACAUUUUAAGAUUAUCUAUAUAUAAGAUUACAAUUACUUAAUUACACCUUAUUAUUUAAGCUAAAACAUUAUUACACUAAACAUAUACACAACAUAUAGGUACACGUAUACAAAAGUAUAUAAGCACAAUAACACAUAUACCAUAUUUUUAAGUACAACACACAGACUACACAAAUCAAAAACACCUACAUGCCAAAGAGAAUUCCGUUUAAUACCCAAAGUAAAAGAAGACUUGGACUUAGAAGUGGAGGCAGCCUUCCUCAAAUUAGGGAGCAAGUAGAACAAUCCACCAACAGCAACAACAUCACUCGAAAAACUGCACCUGGAGGCAUUGGCAACAACCGGGAAAA